rnacentral:rRNA from 1 species
GAAGUCUGACCUCAGCAACGCGCGCGUGAGUGAAGAAGGUCUUCGGAUCGUAAAGCUCUGUUGUCAGCCAAGAACAGGAAAAAGAGGCAAUGCUUUUUCUUUGACGGUAGCUGACCAGAAAGCCACGGCUAACUACGUGCCAGCAGCCGCGGUAAUA